rnacentral:rRNA from 1 species
UACGUAGGGUGCAAGCGUUGUCCGGAAUUAUUGGGCGUAAAGAGCUCGUAGGCGGUUUGUCGCGUCUGCUGUGAAAACUCGGGGCUCAACUCCGAGCUUGCAGUGGGCACGGGCAGACUAGAGUGCGGUAGGGGAGACUGGAAUUCCUGGUGUAGCGGUGGAAUGCGCAGAUAUCAGGAGGAACACCGGUGGCGAAGGCGGGUCUCUGGGCCGUAACUGACGCUGAGGAGCGAAAGCAUGGGGAGCGAACAGG